rnacentral:lncRNA from 12 species
GAUGGCGACAAAUGCACAUAAAGGUUGUGGUUAAAAAGAAAAUCGGAGAAACACUGCCCUAGAGAGUAGGGAUUGAGACUAUGGCCUCUGCGAAGAAUUAUGGAGUCAGCUCCAUAAUUAUCAGCUGCCUGACUGUGGACUUGCAGUACCGUGUAUUUAGAGAUUAGCUUAAUGUUUCAUCAGUGUUUGUUAUGAAAAGGACAGAUAAUGGAAAGAUUGCCCUGCUGUCUCAUAGCAGAAGACUCUCCAGUGAUAGCUGAAUGAGGUACAAGCUCAUUUGGAAAUUCAGGUAAUUUUCUUCUCCUUUCUUUUCUUUUUAAGAUUUUUAUUUAUUUAUUUGACAGAGAAAGAGAGAGAGAGAGCACAAGCAGCAGGAGAGGGAGAAGCAGACUCCCCACUGAACAGGGAGCCUGACUAAGGGCUCCAUACCAGGACCCCGGGAUCAUGACCUGAGACAAAGGCAGAUGCUUCACCAACUGAGCUACCCAGGCGCCAUUUUCUC